GGGGGUAUAGCUCAGCUGGGAGAGCAGCAGACUGAAGUUUGCGCUUUUCUGAAGGUCCCGCGUUCGAUCCGCGGUACCCCCA
rnacentral:tRNA from 1 species